rnacentral:rRNA from 1 species
GACGAACGCUGGCGGCGUGCUUAACACAUGCAAGUCGAACGUGAUUUUUGUGGAAAUUCUUUCGGGAAUGGAAAUGAAAUGAAAGUGGCGAACGGGUGAGUAACACGUGAGCAACCUACCUUACACAGGGGGAUAGCCGUUGGAAACGACGAUUAAUACCGCAUGAGACCACAGAAUCGCAUGAUAUAGGGGUCAAAGAUUUAUCGGUGUAAGAAGGGCUCGCGUCUGAUUAGCUAGUUGGAAGGGUAAAGGCCUACCAAGGCGACGAUCAGUAGCCGGCCUGAGAGGAUGAACGGCCACAUUGGAACUGAGACACGGUCCAAACUCCUACGGGAGGCAGCAGUGGGGAAUAUUGCACAAUGGGGGGAACCCUGAUGCAGCGACGCCGCGUGAGCGAAGAAGGUUUUCGAAUCGUAAAGCUCUGUCCUAUGAGAAGAUAAUGACGGUAGCAUAGGAGGAAGCCCCGGCUAAAUACGUG